rnacentral:rRNA from 1 species
GACGAACGCUGGCGGCGUGCUUAACACAUGCAAGUCGAACGGAAAGGCCCUGCUUUUGUGGGGUGCUCGAGUGGCGAACGGGUGAGUAACACGUGAGUAACCUGCCCUUGACUUUGGGAUAACUUCAGGAAACUGGGGCUAAUACCGGAUAGGAGCUCCUGCUGCAUGGUGGGGGUUGGAAAGUUUCGGCGGUUGGGGAUGGACUCGCGGCUUAUCAGCUUGUUGGUGGGGUAGUGGCUUACCAAGGCUUUGACGGGUAGCCGGCCUGAGAGGGUGACCGGCCACAUUGGGACUGAGAUACGGCCCAGACUCCUACGGGAGGCAGCAGUGGGAAUAUUGCACAAUGGGCGGAAGCCUGAUGCAGCAACGCCGCGUGCGGGAUGACGGCCUUCGGGUUGCAAACCGCUUUCGCCUGUGACGAAGCGUGAGUGACGGUAAUGGGUAAAGAAGCACCGGCUAACUACGUGCCAGCAGCCGCGGUGAUACGUAGGGUGCGAGCGUUGUCCGGAUUUAUUGGGCGUAAAGGGCUCGUAGGUGGUUGAUCGCGUCGGAAGUGUAAUCUUGGGGCUUAACCCUGAGCGUGCUUUCGAUACGGGUUGACUUGAGGAAGGUAGGGGAGAAUGGAAUUCCUGGUGGAGCGGUGGAAUGCGCAGAUAUCAGGAGGAACACCAGUGGCGAAGGCGGUUCUCUGGGCCUUUCCUGACGCUGAGGAGCGAAAGCGUGGGGAGCGAACAGGCUUAGAUACCCUGGUAGUCCACGCUGUAAACGGUGGGUACUAGGUGUGGGGUCCAUUCCACGGGUUCCGUGCCGUAGCUAACGCUUUAAGUACCCCGCCUGGGGAGUACGGCCGCAAGGCUAAAACUCAAAGGAAUUGACGGGGCCCCGCACAAGCGGCGGAGCAUGCGGAUUAAUUCGAUGCAACGCGUAGAACCUUACCUGGGUUUGACAUGGAUCGGGAGUGCUCAGAGACGGGUGUGCCUCUUUUGGGGUCGGUUCACAGGUGGUGCAUGGCUGUCGUCAGCUCGUGUCGUGAGAUGUUGGGUUAAGUCCCGCAACGAGCGCAACCCUUGUUCACUGUUGCCAGCACGUUAUGGUGGGGACUCAGUGGAGACCGCCGGGGUCAACUCGGAGGAAGGUGGGGAUGACGUCAAGUCAUCACGCCCCUUAUGUCCAGGGCUUCACGCAUGCUACAAUGGCUGGUACAGAGAGUGGCGAGCCUGUGAGGGUGAGCGAAUCUCGGAAAGCCGGUCUCAGUUCGGAUUGGGGUCUGCAACUCGACCUCAUGAAGUCGGAGUCGCUAGUAAUCGCAGAUCAGCAACGCUGCGGUGAAUACGUUCCCGGG